AAACAGGGAAACCUAAUCGCAGACAGAUAGACAGUACCAAGUCUGGUUUCAUAUUUUAAGUAACAAGUAAAACGAGGAAACAAAGAUUAUUGUUUCUUUUCAAGUAAAGUGUAAGGUAAACGAACUGAACAGUACUCGUUGGAAACCAAACAUGAAGUGCACAAUCCUCCUGAUUUUGUUAGGCCUAAUCUUAGUUUCGGUAGUCAGUGCACAGAGGAUUUUUCAUUCUAGUGCUUGUUCAAGAUGCGGCAGCCUGUCCUUGCCUCAGCGCCAGUAUUGCUGCAAUCAACUCAGAAUUGACUCAUGUUGUAGGGUUCGAGUCCCGUCAGAUCCUACGGCAGGCAUACCCGGCAUUGGUGGUCUGCCUGGAAAUCGUCCUAUUACAGAUUCGUUUCCUGGAUAUCCAAACGUAUUCCCGAUUAAUCCGUGGAUUUACACAGGUUAUCCACCGGGCAAACCUGUGGAUCCAAACGAUCCAUACAUAAUCUACGUUCGGUCGAAGAUGAAGGAAGGUGAAAAGAAACCUUAACUAUUAUCGAGGAGCUCUAGUUAAAAUGUGUUUAAAGCUCCGAUUUUUUUAUAUUAAUAAAGUUUUAUUUCACAAAUUGGUAACAGAAAAGCUCGACUCACUCCUCAAAAAUACUUCUAAAACAUUUUAUGUUUUAAAAGACACAAUACAUGACAUUGUAACUUAAGAGAUGAAAGAAAGAGUUUAAAUUCUUAGAAGUACGUACUGAUUUUGAACUAUCGUAGAAAACAUUCUUCUUAAGAGCGCAACCUACUUAUUAAAAUUUAAAAAAAGAACAAUUGUUGGUUUGCUAAAAUAGACAAACAAUAUUUAUAGAGACACGCAAUUGUUUAUACUCAGACUGUUGACAACGUAUAUAUUGUUUGUUUUUAGAAUACGUGUUUUUUUUAAACUUAUGCAAGAAUUUCAAUUCUAAGAAUCGAACUGCUCUCAUACAGUUUACUUCUAACAUAGAACAGCGAUUACAGAGUUUAUUGUUGUCAUCACCACAGAACUCACUUCGGACAUAAUAUACAGAUGCCACAGAUUUUAGUGCUAAAAUACAAUUAGUCACGUGUUUACUGUUUUUAUAAUGAUAUUACUAUAUAAUUUACUUUAUUACUACUGAUAUGGUACAAUUUCGACAUAGCUGACUGUUGUUAUAGUAUAAUUUUGUAUGCAGAUGUCAGAUAAUAAAUAUUUGUACAACCAAGAUCUUUAAACGAGAAAUAAAAUUUUGGAACUUCU